rnacentral:snRNA from 1 species
AUAUCUUUCUCGGCGUUUUGGCUAAGAUCAAGUGUAGUUUUCUGUUUUGAAUCAUUGGUUCACAAGAUAUUAUAUUAAUUUUUUAAAUGAGAGAGUCAACUUAA